ACAAAUUUGGCCGUUUCACGGUCAGGGCUGACUGUUGCCUGAAGAAGGGUAA
rfam:Citrobacter rodentium ICC168, complete genome